rnacentral:rRNA from 1 species
UGCCUAGGAAUCUGCCCGAUAGUGGGGGACAACGUUUCGAAAGGAACGCUAAUACCGCAUACGUCCUACGGGAGAAAGUGGGGGCUCUUCGGACCUCGCGCUAUCGGAUGAGCCUAGGUCGGAUUAGCUAGUUGGUGGGGUAAAGGCUCACCAAGGCGACGAUCCGUAACUGGUCUGAGAGGAUGAUCAGUCACACUGGAACUGAGACACGGUCCAGACUCCUACGGGAGGCAGCAGUGGGGAAUAUUGGACAAUGGGCGAAAGCCUGAUCCAGCCAUGCCGCGUGUGUGAAGAAGGUCUUCGGAUUGUAAAGCACUUUAAGUUGGGAGGAAGGGCUGUAAGCGAAUACCUUGCAGCUUUGACGUUACCGACAGAAUAAGCACCGGCUAACUUCGUGCCAGCAGCCGCGGUAAUACGAAGGGUGCAAGCGUUAAUCGGAAUUACUGGGCGUAAAGCGCGCGUAGGUGGUUUGGUAAGUUGGAUGUGAAAGCCCCGGGCUCAACCUGGGAACUGCAUCCAAAACUGCCUGACUAGAGUACGGUAGAGGGUGGUGGAAUUUCCUGUGUAGCGGUGAAAUGCGUAGAUAUAGGAAGGAACACCAGUGGCGAANGCGACCACCUGGACUGAUACUGACACUGAGGUGCGA